rnacentral:snRNA from 1 species
AUUUCUUUGUAUAUGUAAUCAGCAUCAAUAAAAACUCUGUUCUUAUCAGCUUAAUAUCUGAUACGAGUCCUAUUUGGACUCAAGAUAUUAAACUAAUUUUUGCCACUUGGCGCCGUGAAGGGGCUUGCUCCUCCGGCGCCGCGGGUUGUCCCGGCGUUGCACUGCUGCCGGGUUCGGCCCAAGACCC